rnacentral:misc_RNA from 1 species
AAAAAUUAAAAAAAAAAUCAGUGAAUUUUUCAAAAUUGCGCAUCCAUUAGGGAUCAAGAUUCAAGGGCACAACUAUUAACUCUUGAUCAAUAUUUUUCUUUAGCAAUAAUAAUAGAAAGCUUAUGUCACACGUGCCACCGACCUUGCCAAAGUGUGAGUUCUGCAGUUCCUUUCGAGAUUGCUGACACCCCUGCUUACGUCUCUGCUAUUUGAAUUUUGCAUCAUAAAGAAAUUGAAGGUUCUCCGUUGAAUUUGGAUCAAUGACCACCAUCUAGCUUAAGCUCCUCGUUCUCUCUUCAGUCUUCACCAUAUCACCUCUUGAUCGAUCUUACUCUUUUACUGCAUCCAUCCAUGGACUCAAACUCUCCUCCAGUUGAAAUCUUCUUCUUCCCAUUUGUAGGCGGAGGCCACCAGAUCCCCAUGAUAGACAUGGCUAGAAUCUUUGCCUCCCAUGGUGUCAGAGCAACCAUCAUAGCCACCCCAAAGCAUGCUCUUUCCUUCCAAAAAUCUAUUGUCCGUGACCAGAACUCCAGUCUUCCAAUCUCUAUUCACAUCCUCAAGUUACCAGAUGGUGUUGAUAUAGCUGAUACAGACAUGUCUGCAGCUCCCUUCACUGACACUUCUAUACUCCAAGAACCUCUCCUGAAUCUUUUGCUUGAACGCAAACCAGACUGUAUUAUUCAUGAUGUGUUUCACCGGUGGUCCGCUGAAGCCAUUGAUAGAAUUGGUAUUCUAAGAAUUACUUUCAGUGGAAAUGGAUGCUUCCCUCGCUGUGUCCAAGAAAAUAUGGCACGUUAUAAGCCCCAUGAGAAGGUAGGUUCUGAUCUGGAGCCUUUUGUUGUCCCAGGUCUUCCUGAUAGGAUUGAAUUGACUAGAUCUCAACUACCAUUCUUUGCCAGACAGGGUGGGCUUCCCAGAAGGAUGACAAAACCUGAUGAGAACAGCUUUGGAGUUGCAGUUAAUAGUUUCUAUGAAUUGGAGCCAGCUUAUGUGGAAUACUUCCAAAAGGAAUUGGGGAACAAGGCAUGGCUAGUAGGACCAGUAUCAUUGUGUAACAGAAACGUGGAAGAUAAAGCUGAAAGAGGGCAAAAGACCGCUAUUGAUGAGCAAAGCAUACUGAAUUGGCUUAACAGUAAAGAACCCAAUUCGGUUCUUUACAUUAGUUUUGGGAGCUUAGCUCGUUUAGCUCCUGAACAACUCCUUGAGAUUGCCCAUGGUCUUGAAGCUUCCAAUCACCCAUUCAUUUGGGUGAUAGGAAAAAUCUUCCAAUCCACUGAGAAAGAACAAGGAAGCCAAAAAAAUUGGCUUCCCAAUGGAUUUGAAGAUAGAAUUAAAGAAUCCCAGAAGGGAUUGAUCAUAAAAGGUUGGGCACCGCAGUUGUUAAUAUUAGAGCACAUCGCUGUAGGAGGAUUUAUGACUCAUUGUGGAUGGAACUCGACUUUGGAAGGUGUGAGUGCUGGGGUACCAAUGAUAACAUGGCCAAUUACAGCAGAGCAAUUUACCAAUGAGAAGUUGAUCACGGAUGUGUUGAAGAUUGGAGUGAAGGUGGGGAGCAUGGAGUGGUUGUCAUGGAGCAGUGAGCCAUCGGCAGCGGUGAAGAGAGACAACGUGGAGACAGCAGUGAAAAGGCUAAUGGGUGGUGAUGAAGAGGCAGCAGAGAUGAGAAGCAGAGCUAAAGAUCUCGGAGAGAAAGCCAAGAGAGUUGUUGAAGAAGGAGGAUCAUCUUAUAAUGAUGCAAAUGCUUUGAUUCAGGAACUUCAAUCUCGCCGGAGAAAUUGAAACCUUCGCCGGAUAUGGCUGAGAUGGAGCAUAGUUUAAUAGGCUACUGUGAUUUUUCCCCCCAGUGUCUUGUACCACUUGUUAAGUUACGAACAAGAAUCAUAGUAAAUUUACACUUCAGCCCUUAGUGGGAUAGUGAAUUAGCGUGUAUGAUCUUUCUUGUAAGCGAUCUUGACACAUGAACCAAGUUCACUAUGGGAAUAUAGACUAAUAAU